CCAGACUCCUACGGGAGGCAGCAGUGAGGAAUAUUGGUCAAUGGCCGCAGGGCUGAACCAGCCAAGUCGCGUGAGGGAUGGCGGUCCUAUGGAUUGUAAACCUCUUUUGUCAGGGAGCAAAGGGCGCCACGUGUGGCGCUUUGCGAGUACCUGAAGAAAAAGCAUCGGCUAACUCCGUGCCAGCAGCCGCGGUAAUACGGAGGAUGCGAGCGUUAUCCGGAUUUAUUGGGUUUAAAGGGUGCGUAGGCGGAAUGCCAAGUCAGGGGUAAAAUCGGGGGCCUCAACCUCGCUCCGCCGUUGAAACUGGCGUUCUUGAGUGGGCGAGAAGUAUGCGGAAUGCGUGGUGUAGCGGUGAAAUGCAUAGAUAUCACGCAGAACCCCGAUUGCGAAGGCAGCGUGCCGUGCCGCCACUGACGCUGAGGCACGAAAGCGCGGGGAUCGAACAGGAUUAGAUACCCGAGUC
rnacentral:rRNA from 1 species